rnacentral:rRNA from 1 species
CGGGCUCUAUGGGUGGGGGACUGGGUAUCUCCACCGAAAGGGGAGGGAAAUCUCUCAAAAACAUUCUUAUAUUUGAUUGAGGGGUGUGACUCUCCCUCUUGAAAAUGGAAUCUCUAUUAAUCUCGUUUCUCAAAACAGCGGUGAAUACAUCCCUGUGCCUUGUACAAAAUCUUU